GUCUUGUAAUUGGAAUGAUGGGAAUUUAAACCUCUUCCAGAGUAUCAAUUGGAGGGCAAGUCUGGUGCCAGCAGCCGCGGUAAUUCCAGCUCCAAUAGCGUAUAUUAAAAUUGUUGCAGUUAAAAAGCUCGUAGUUGAAUUUCUGCUGCAUUGCAUUUUCUCCUAUACGAGUUUUUGCAUUGUGGCUUAUUUCGGUUAUAAAAUUUAUUUUUAUUUCCGGAUGUUUACUUUGAGAAAAUUAGAGUGCUCAAAGCAGGCUUUUGCCUUGAAUAGUUUAGCAUGAAAUAAUAAAGUAAGACUUUGGUUCUAUUUUGUUGGUUUUAGGUACCAAAGUAAUGGAUAAUAAGAACAGUUGGGGGC
rnacentral:rRNA from 1 species